GACGAACGCUGGCGGCGCGCUUAACACAUGCAAGUCGAACGGUGAACCGGGCUUCGGCCCGGGGAUCAGUGGCGAACGGGUGCGUAACACGUGGGCAACCUGCCCCUCACUCUGGGAUAACCCCGGGAAACCGGAGCUAAUACCGGAUACUCCGACCGGUCCGCAUGGUCUGGUCGGGAAAGGUCCGCCGGUGAGGGAUGGGCCCGCGGCCUAUCAGCUUGUUGGUGGGGUAACGGCUCACCAAGGCGACGACGGGUAGCUGGUCUGAGAGGACGACCAGCCACACUGGGACUGAGAUACGGCCCAGACUCCUACGGGAGGCAGCAGUGGGGAAUCUUGCGCAAUGGGCGAAAGCCUGACGCAGCGACGCCGCGUGGGGGAUGAAGGCCCUCGGGUUGUAAACCCCUUUCGGCAGGGACGAAGCGAUCGUGACGGUACCUGCAGAAGAAGCCUCGGCUAACUACGUGCCAGCCGCCGCCGUAAAAC
rnacentral:rRNA from 1 species